UACGUAGGGGGCAAGCGUUGUCCGGAAUCAUUGGGCGUAAAGAGCGUGUAGGCGGCCAGAAAAGUCCGCUGUGAAAACUCGAGGCUCAACUUCGAGCUGUCGGUGGAAACUUUCUGGCUAGAGUCCGGAAGAGGAGAAUGGAAUUCCUGGUGUAGCGGUGAAAUGCGCAGAUAUCAGGAAGAACACCCGUGGCGAAGGCGGUUCUCUGGGACGGUACUGACGCUGAGACGCGAAAGCGUGGGGAGCGAGCAGG
rnacentral:rRNA from 1 species